rnacentral:lncRNA from 1 species
GCGGAUAUUGACAGCGAGCGCUGGCGAGGAAGGAACAAAGGUGAGGCGGCCGCCAUCAACGGGGGAUGUGUGGUUAUGGUAAUGGCCUGCAACAAGAGAUGAGGAAUUGGGGGUGGAAAUGUGAAGCAGGAAGUGUCCUUCAACGACGAGGCGGCGCCAUCGCUUGCAGGUGGCCGCUGCGCGGACGAGCCAGUGGGGCGAGGUGAGGUACAAGAGGAUGAGCUCGAGGAGCUUGUCCGGAAUGUCGUGCACCGUCGUCGACCAGGCCGGUGACGCUUUGCGCACCAGCGCCAUGCUGUUUACUACUUUCUCUCUGGCCAUGUUAUGGGGGUUGGUCGAUCAAGAGCUUGGCUUCCUC